GAUGAACGCUGGCGGCACGCCUAACACAUGCAAGUCGAACGAUGAAGCCGGAGCUUGCUCCGGUGGAUUAGUGGCGAACGGGUGAGUAACACGUGAGCAAUCUGCCCUUGACUCUGGGAUAACUGCGGGAAACUGUAGCUAAUACCGGAUACGACACCUUGGGGCAUCCCAGGGUGUGGAAAGAAUUUCGGUCAAGGAUGAGCUCGCGGCCUAUCAGCUAGUUGGUGAGGUAAUGGCUCACCAAGGCGACGACGGGUAGCCGGCCUGAGAGGGUGACCGGCCACACUGGAACUGAGACACGGUCCAGACUCCUACGGGAGGCAGCAGUGGGGAAUAUUGCACAAUGGGCGAAAGCCUGAUUCAGCAACGCCGCGUGAGGGAUGAAGGCCUUCGGGUUGUAAACCUCUUUUAGCAGGGAAGAAGCGAAAGUGACGGUACCUGCAGAAAAAGCACCGGCUAACUACGUGCCAGCCGCCGCCGUAA
rnacentral:rRNA from 1 species